GAUUCAAAGCUUUGCUCGGGCCAGACCGGGAGUCAUGCGGAGGGGUUUAGGGGUGGCUGCUGCAUCGCUAAGCUUUCACUACCGCUGAUCUGUUAAACAGGAACUUGGGUGACAGUGAGCCUAUAGGAUUAAGAAAACGGAUUCGGGUGCUGGCGAAGCAUCGCCAAAUGAAUCCAGCUGUUCUCCACUGAAUACACAAUGAUUUAACGGCGGAUGUGUAAAGUGGACCAGCCUUGGGCGACGGGCCCGUCUCGCAGCAGCUGUUGGUGCAGAUAGCCUCCUCUGGCCUAUUCGCCAUUGAGGAGGAGCGCUUCCCAUUAUCUGUCCCGAGAGACAUGAAGAACAAAACACUGUCACCAUUAAAGAUACACGCUGUCACUGAAAAGGAAGAAAGCACAUGUCCUGGAAAGUUUGAAGAUCCCACAUGCAUUAGUGUUAAAAUACAACAUCUGUAUCAUCUCAAAAAGGCAUAAAAAGAUAUUGCCUAAAAGGCAGUUCAAUCAGAAAAACAUCAUAAGAAUGACAAGCUUGAUGAGAUCAUAUAGUGAGGGAUUUGUUUUCGAUUAGGCUUUUGAUUCCUUUGCUAAUGAAUUUAAAACAAACAAAAAAGUGUCUGGCUCUAAAAUGUGAACGUCAACAUUAAUGAACAAUAAACAUGAUGACCAGAGUAACCACACAUUAUGUUAUCUCAUUAAAAACGUUAAAAAACUCAUUUAUUUACCAAUAUUAGUGUUCAAAAUCACAUUGACGAAAACAUAAUGAGAUAAAUUAGAAGCCAUUGGCAAGCACAAUUAUUAUCCAGCCAAUAACCUUCCCCUUAGCUAAAAACAUCUUUUGUAAAAUCCGGUAACCUUGCCGCGUUGUUGCUUCUGUAUAACCAAACAAUUCAUCAUCCCUGCUCUGUUACAUCCCCAAUCAAACUCAAAUUCUUGUUUAAAAAAACCUAAUAAAACAAAAAUAAAAUCCAAUUACA